rnacentral:rRNA from 1 species
GAUGAACGCUAGCGGCAGGCCUAAUACAUGCAAGUCGAGGGGCAGCGCGGUAGCAAUACUGGCGGCGACCGGCGCACGGGUGCGUAACACGUAUGCAACCUACCUUCAACUGGAGGAUAGCCCGGGGAAACUCGGAUUAAUACUCCAUAACACAGGGAUCCCGCAUGGGAAUAUUGUUAAAGCUACGGCGGUUGAAGAUGGGCAUGCGUUCGAUUAGCUAGUUGGUGUAGGUAACGGCUCACCAAGGCUACGAUCGAUAGGGGUCUGAGAGGAUGAUCCCCCACACUGGUACUGAGAUACGGACCAGACUCCUACGGGAGCAGCAGUAGGGAAUAUUGGUCAAUGGGCGCAAGCCUGAACCAGCCAUGCCGCGUGCAGGAAGAAGGGCCCCUCUGGGUUGUAAACUGCUUUUGAUAGGGAACAAAUGCCACUUGCGAGUGGAGCUGAGUGUACCUAUAGAAUAAGCACCGGCUAACUCCGUGCCAGCAGCCGACGG